rnacentral:rRNA from 1 species
GAUGAACGCUGGCGGCGUGCCUAAUACAUGCAAGUCGAGCGAACAGACGAGGAGCUUGCUCCUCUGACGUUAGCGGCGGACGGGUGAGUAACACGUGGAUAACCUACCUAUAAGACUGGGAUAACUUCGGGAAACCGGAGCUAAUACCGGAUAAUAUAUUGAACCGCAUGGUUCAAUAGUGAAAGACGGUUUUGCUGUCACUUAUAGAUGUAUCCGCGCCGCAUUAGCUAGUUGGUAAGGUAACGGCUUACCAAGGCAACGAUGCGUAGCCGACCUGAGAGGGUGAUCGGCCACACUGGAACUGAGACACGGUCCAGACUCCUACGGGAGGCAGCAGUAGGGAAUCUUCCGCAAUGGGCGAAAGCCUGACGGAGCAACGCCGCGUGAGUGAUGAAGGUCUUCGGAUCGUAAAACUCUGUUAUUAGGGAAGAACAAAUGUGUAAGUAACUAUGCACGUCUUGACGGUACCUAAUCAGAAAGCCACAGCUAACUACGUG